rnacentral:rRNA from 1 species
CCUACGGGUGGCAGCAGUGGGGAAUAUUGCACAAUGGGGGAAACCCUGAUGCAGCGACGCCGCGUGAGUGAAGAAGUAUUUCGGUAUGUAACGCUCUAUCAGCAGGGAAGAAAAUGACGGUACCUGAUUAAGAAGCCCCGGCUAACUACGUGCCAGCAGCCGCGGUAAGACGGAGGGGGCAAGCGUUAUCCGGAUUUACUGGGAGGAAAGGGAGCGUAGACGGCAGCACAAGUCUGGAGUGAAAUGCCGGGGCUUAACCCCGGAACUGCUUUGGAAACUGUGCAGCGAGAGUGCAGGAGAGGUAAGUGGAAUUCCUAGUGUAGCGGGGAAAUGCGUAGAUAUUAGGAGGAACACCAGUGGCGAAGGCGGCUUACUGGACUGUAACUGACGUUGAGGCUCGAAAGCGUGGGGAGCAAAUAGGAUUAGAUACCCGAGUAGUC